AACUUUACCAGCAAUGUCUGAUUACUUCUGUUUGACUUUUCAAAUGGGUAGUGCUAUGGCUGCUUGUGAUUAUAAUAAUUCGAAUCCUACUUUCCCCAGAUUUGUCUUGAUUCAGGUUUUUAGUCAUGUUGAUUCAAGUUUUUAUUUUUAUUUAUAUCUAUAUUUUGUUGUUGAAGCAUGUAUGUUUCUGGAUCUGUUCAUCUAUUUGUACAUUUAGUUUUCUUAGCUUGAUUCUAUUGCCACUUUUUUUUUUGUCAUGUCUUCUAUAUGGAACUAAUUAGCACAAUAUGAUCCAAUAGUCUAUCCCAACACACCCUCACUGCCUAAGCAAUACAAGCACAUCACCACAAUAUGAUCCAACAAUAUCCAAACACACCCUCAUUGCCUAAGCAAUACAAGCACAUCAAUUAUUUUCAUUCCAAACCAAUAGUCACCGACAUCCUCGACUUCCCAGACACAUUCACUGAAAAAGAAAAAACCUUAGGCGAAAAAAGAAUGUGAAAAUGCACAUAGAUUGCUGAGGUGCCAUGAUUUGUCAUUGUUGGUGUAUCCAUGGUUCUGAUAAUGAGCCGCAAGACUAGUCUUCCCACAACCCAUUGCAGCAUAUGAUUUUGCAAACCACAUGAACCAACUAGUCCAUUCAUCUAGAAUACGUUCUUCAGAAAAAUGUGAUUACAAUUAAUGGUCGAGAUCGUAUGCAACAAGAUGUCCCACGCAACCGAAUUCGAUCAACCUACCAGGCAACUGCAAACUGCAAUAGAGCUCCAUAUCUACAGCCUGCAACUCUGCUCUACUGGCCCAGCUGUAAUUAGACAUCUCUGAGCUGCUGAACCGAAUUGAUUCUAUUGCCACUUGUAUGCAUGCCAUCAUCAGCUCUUCAUUAUUACAUACACCUGAGAUUGAACAUGGAUCCAGGGUGGUGUGGCAUCAAGGUACACAUAAAAAUCUAUCUGUUACCAUUGAUUUAUUCUCUCCUAUUUCUUCUUUGGCUCUGGAAUCUUUAUGCAACUCUGACUGCAUGAGAAUUUCAAAGGUUAUUCUUUCUGAUGCCAAUGUGUAGGGUGAGGGGGAGAACAAGAUAAUGUCGUACAAUCGCUUGCGAAGAAAUCUACCAGGGUUUGACCCGAAUACACAACAUUGCUUGUAUGGGUUGGAUGCUGACUUGAUCAUGCUAGCACUGGCUACACAUAAAGUGCAUUUUGCAAUUCUUAGAGAGAGAAUAUCAAAAUGGGAGCUGAUCGAGGUUGAUCCGUUGCCAAUUACUCAAUCUGAUAAUAGAUGCAAGGGCUGAUGUCAGCCUCAUGGGACUGAUUCAUUACCAAAAGGUAUAAUCCGUGAGACCUCCAACUUAGAGAUGCGACCAUUAUGAGGUUUCCCAAAGAAAAAGGGGAACGCGAAAGCUUCGAAUAACUUACCGGCCAUUGCAGUUGGAAUAAAACAAAAAGAAAAUGUGAACCAGAUUGUUGAAAAGGUAUGUAAGGCUUCAAGAGCUUUUCUCUAAGAGUACAAGUAUAUGCAAAAUAACAAUCCACUUAGAUAUGCUUGGUCCUUGAGAAACCAGAUUAUUUGCAAUAUGGAUGGAGCUUGACUGUCACAGUGAAGAGUUUGAUAUCUAGCUCUCUUCUUAAAUGUAUUUCUUUUUGUUUUCUUUUUUUCAUGAUUGUCCCUGGUUAGAACAAGGCCUUAACCUGGACAGUUGCAAUAUCGGAUUUGUAU